rnacentral:misc_RNA from 1 species
CGGUGGAAACCAGACCAUUGAUAUAUUAAGAUAUAAAUAAAAGAAUGUUUUGAAUUAGUAUAUAAGAUCAACUUUCGAGCAAUUUGUUGUACGAACUGGCCUUUUUUAUUCUGCUUUUCGUUUAAGAUGUUUAUAUUGCUUCGAUACAUUGAUUCGAUACUUAAAUUGUUUUGGAUACUUGCGUCCCUUUGGAUAUUUCUGCGUGUCGUACACAAAUUUUGUCUGAAGAAAUUUAAAUCCAACAAAAAUGUUUGUGUGCUGGUGCCCAACGACAUCGGCAGAAGCCCGCGAAUGCAAUAUCACGCAAUCUCUUUCGCCAGGGUAGGCUUUACUGUAGACGUUGUAGGUUACCCUGGUUCAUCACCAAUGAAGGAAGUUGUCGAGAGUCCGCGUAUACAGGUUCACUACCUGCGACCGCCUCCGGAAUUGCGAAACAGAUUACCACUUUUCUUACGUUACGUAGUAAAAGUGAUAUGGCAAACUGUUGAUCUCUUAUGGUCAUUACUUUUCAAACGAAUACCAAAUACAUUAAUAAUUCAAAAUCCCCCUGCGAUACCAACGAUUCCAGUAUGUUGGUUUUACUGCGUUCUGAUGGAAACGCAAUUCAUCAUCGAUUGGCACAAUUAUGCAUAUUCUCUGAUGAGCUUAGGAGAGGAUCAUAUUCUGUUUAAACUGGCCAAACAUAUUGAGAUAACAUUUGGACGCAGAGCAACAAAUAAUUUCUGUGUCACUAGAGCGAUGAAGAAUGAUCUAAUAAGAUGGCACAUUUACUCUAAGGUCAUAUAUGACGAACCAGCCGAUGACUUCCGUCCAAUCUCGUUGAAAGAGAAAAAUGAGUUUUUGUGCAAGUUAGCAGAAAAGUACGCUCUAUCUAUAUCUGAUUCACUCAGAAGAUCCGGAUUUAUUGUGUCCAGCACUAGCUGGACGAAAGAUGAAGAUUUUUUACUUCUGUUUAAUGCAUUGCAAGAGUAUGAAAACGCGUGUGAUAACGAAGAGUUGAAUCUACCUGAUUUAAUUUGCGUGAUAACGGGUAAAGGACCGUUGCGAGAUUUCUACAUGGCCAUCGUUGCCUCGAAAAAAUGGAAACAUGUUCAAGUAAGAACAUUAUGGCUUGAAAAUGAAGAUUAUCCGAAAAUACUAGCUACUGCAGACUUAGGCAUAUGCCUUCAUACGUCAUCCAGUGGAUUGGAUUUACCAAUGAAAAUUGUGAAUAUGUUUGGUUGUGGCUUGCCAGUUUGCGCGUACAAUUUUUAUUGCUUGUCAGAGUUGGUGAGGCACAACGAGAACGGCUUGGUAUUCGCGAGCGAGAACGAGUUGGCUCAACAAUUGAAAAUGUGGUUUCACGAUUUCCCAAAUAACGACGCACAACAACAGUUACGUGAGAAGUUUCAAAAGAACAUGUUUACAUCCCUGGUACAGCGCAAUGCUUGGUGCAACGCUGUGACCACCGGAGAGGAGUUGAACGAUCGGCCGAUCAUCGGCAUUCUGACGCAAGAAAUAGAUUACAAUUUAAAUAAGAAGUAUCCCGAUCAGUAUCAUAGCUACAUCGCUGCGUCAUACGUCAAAUUCGUCGAAGGUGCUGGUGCGCGACCCGUCCCGAUUUGGAUUGGCGCAAACGAUUCAUAUUACGAAGAUAUUUUGAGUAAAAUUAACGGAGUACUGUGGCCGGGAGGUGCGACAUAUUUCUAUCCGAAUGAAGGAUACGCUGAUGCAGGCGCUGCGAUUUACAGAAUCGCGAAGACAAUCAACAAGAGAGGCGAGCACUUUCCCAUACUCGGCAUCUGCCUCGGUUUCGAACUGCUGACGUACGUCGCGGCGAAUCGUGUCGAGCACAGAUCGAAUUGUUCCAGCCAAAAUCAGCCCCUUCCGCUGGAAUUCAAACCGGAUCGCAAUGUCAUGUAAAAUAAUGAAUCUUUAAUUCUAAUGGAAAGAAACUACCAGACCGAUUCUUCACUAAACAUUUCAUCUACUUCAGGAAAAGCAAUUUGUUUAAGAAUGCUCCGUGGGAUGUCGUGGAAAUCCUACAAGAAGAGAAUGUCACGGCAAAUUAUCAUCGCUACUGUGUUACGGAAGAGG